UGCUGUGUUAAAUAUGCUAGUCCUUUCAUGAUUAUGUGAUAGGUGGUGCAUGGCCGUUCUUAGUUCGUGGAGUGAUCUGUCUGCUUAAUUGCGUUUCACUAAGGAACUAUAUUUCUUAUGUAUGUUGUCAGCGCAUUGACCCCUCAACUGCUACAAUUCUUAAUUGAAUUGACUUUUGCUGCGCGUGUCUUUGAUUCUCGUCUGGCUCAUACGAUUAGUUCCUGAAAGCAACGAACGUGACCGCAACCUCUUGUUGCCUUCAAAUCAUAAUACAUGCACUCAUUUGAUGAAUUUCAUUUGUGUGCAUACGGAGGCUUUCUAAACUAGAGGGACCGCUGUUAUCUUCUUAAACCAGAGGAAGGUUGCGGCAAUAACAGGUCUGUGAUGCCCUUAGAUGUUCCGGGCUGCACACGUGCUACAAUGAUUAUUGCAGUGAGCAUCUCAUUUACUUAAUACAUCGCAAGCGCGAGUCCGUUUGUUCUUUGUUUCAGUUCAUGCUGUUCAGAGCUUCAAAUGAGUAUCUCUGCGCGCGAUAAAGCCUGCUUUGAAAGUUUAGUGGGUAAUCAAUUAGAAGUAAUGAUUUCCUAAAUUUAUCGCACUUAUAUGUACGGCGUCUUUACCCAGCUGGCCUUUUGUGCCAGAAUUCGUGUGUAUCGACGAUUGAUUUCUUAUAAUCAAUUGCCUUUCUUACGGUACCGUACGUGCAAUUGUCAAUUCAUGGUGGGGACAGACCAUUGUUAAUUGUUGGUCUCGGUCUUAACUAGGAAUGCCUUGUACGGGUCUUUGGUUCAACAGACCACCCGGAAUACGUCCCUGCCCUUUGUACACACCGCCCGUCGCUCUU
rnacentral:rRNA from 1 species